UUCCAGGUAAAUCCGGUUCACUUUAACACUGAGGCGUGACGACGAGGCACCACGGUGCUGAAGCAACAAAUGCCCUGCUUCCAGGAAAAGCCUCUAAGCAUCAGGUAACAUCAAAUCGUACCCCAAACCGACACAGGUGGUCAGGUAGAGAAUACCAAGGCGCUUGAGAGAACUCGGGUGAAGGAACUAGGCAAAAUGGUGCCGUAACUUCGGGAGAAGGCACGCUGACACGUAGGUGAAGUGAUUUACUCACGGAGCUGAAGUCAGUCGAAGAUACCAGCUGGCUGCAACUGUUUAUUAAAAACACAGCACUGUGCAAACACGAAAGUGGACGUAUACGGUGUGACGCCUGCCCGGUGCCGGAAGGUUAAUUGAUGGGGUCAGCGCAAGCGAAGCUCCUGAUCGAAGCCCCGGUAAACGGCGGCCGUAACUAUAACGGUCCUAAGGUAGCGAAAUUCCUUGUCGGGUAAGUUCCGACCUGCACGAAUGGCGUAAUGAUGGCCAGGCUGUCUCCACCCGAGACUCAGUGAAAUUGAACUCGCUGUGAAGAUGCAGUGUACCCGCGGCAAGACGGAAAGACCCCGUGAACCUUUACUAUAGCUUGACACUGAACAUUGAGCCUUGAUGUGUAGGAUAGGUGGGAGGCUUUGAAGCGUGGACGCCAGUCUGCGUGGAGCCGACCUUGAAAUACCACCCUUUAAUGUUUGAUGUUCUAACGUGGACCCGUAAUCCGGGUUGCGGACAGUGUCUGGUGGGUAGUUUGACUGGGGCGGUCUCCUCCUAAAGAGUAACGGAGGAGCACGAAGGUUGGCUAAUCCUGGUCGGACAUCAGGAGGUUAGUGCAAUGGCAUAAGCCAGCUUGACUGCGAGCGUGACGGCGCGAGCAGGUGCGAAAGCAGGUCAUAGUGAUCCGGUGGUUCUGAAUGGAAGGGCCAUCGCUCAACGGAUAAAAGGUACUCCGGGGAUAACAGGCUGAUACCGCCCAAGAGUUCAUAUCGACGGCGGUGUUUGGCACCUCGAUGUCGGCUCAUCACAUCCUGGGGCUGAAGUAGGUCCCAAGGGUAUGGCUGUUCGCCAUUUAAAGUGGUACGCGAGCUGGGUUUAGAACGUCGUGAGACAGUUCGGUCCCUAUCUGCCGUGGGCGCUGGAGAAUUGAGGGGGGCUGCUCCUAGUACGAGAGGACCGGAGUGGACGCAUCACUGGUGUUCGGGUUGUCAUGCCAAUGGCACUGCCCGGUAGCUAAAUGCGGAAAAGAUAAGUGCUGAAAGCAUCUAAGCACGAAACUUGCCCCGAGAUGAGUUCUCCCUGAGACUUUGAGUCUCCUGAAGGAACGUUAAAGACGAUGACGUUGAUAGGCCGGGUGUGUAAGCGCAGCGAUGCGUUGAGCUAACCGGUACUAAUGAACCGUGAGGCUUAACCUUACAACGCCGAAGCUGUU
rnacentral:rRNA from 1 species